rnacentral:rRNA from 1 species
UCGAGAAUAUUCGACAAUGGGCGAAAGCCUGAUCGAGCGACGCCGCGUGCAGGAUGAAGGCCCUCGGGUUGUAAACUGCGGUAGUAGGGGAGGAACGCAAGUGACUGUACCCUACGGAAAGUGGUUGGUAACUACGUGCCAGCACCAGCGGUAAUACGUAGACCACAAGCGUUAUCCGGAUUUAUUGGGCGUAAAGCGUACGUAGGCGGUUCGGUAAGUCCCAUGUGAAAUCCCACGGCUCAACCGUGGAAGGUCAUGGGAAACUGCCAGGCUAGAGUGUGAAAGGGGAGAGUGGAAUUCCCAGUGUAGUGGUGAAAUACGUAGAUAUUGGGAGGAACACCGGUGGCGAAAGCGACUCUCUGGUUCAUAACUGACGCUGAGGUACGAAAGCGUGGGGAGCAAACAGGAUUAGAUACCCCGGUAGUCCCUGAGCGGGCUGGCAAGGCGCAU